rnacentral:misc_RNA from 1 species
UAGUUAUUAAAGGUGCAAGGUGCAAUUUGACACCAAUGGUCCUAAUGCCUAGGCACAAGGCACACACCUGAGUAAGGCGAGGAACAAAAGUAAUUUAAAAAAUCCAAUAAAUGUGAAUUCUUGCAUAUAUUUCAAAUUACAGAAGCUAUUAUGUGAAAAUUUAUGGGUACAUUUCUAAUUAGUUCUUGCAUAUAUCUAAUGAUCUAAAAAAAUUAUUAAAUUGGCAUGUGAGAAAUUUGGAAAUUGAUUAUCCAAAUCGGGAUUAGCAAAG